GAACUUUUUUACUAUAUAAAAUGAUCAAACAAUUGUACAUUUGUAAUUAUAUGUGAAGCUGAAAAAUGGCUGAAAUUCUCAAGUUUGUUUAUACUAUGAUCCUUUUUGUUUCCAUAUUUAUCAUUGUAGUCAAUGUUGGUGGAAAAUGUGUUUCUGACGCCGAGUGUAGUGGACAAUAUAUGUGUCCCACUCUAACAGUAAUAAAAUGCAUUAAAGAUGAAUGUGUAUGCAUUCAUUAUGAUCAUGACAAGCAAUAGGUGAAUCUUGUAUUUUGUAUUGUUACCGUUGUUUUGUUGUAAUCCUUAGAAUUAAUUUUUGUUUUUUAUUUUACAUUUGAGUUUGCAAAUUUAUGAAUUGAAAUGUGCUUUAUUAUUAUUUAUUGAAUGUUGAAAAAUAAUUUAUGGUGUUUAA